AACGAACGCUGGCGGCAGGCUUAACACAUGCAAGUCGAACGGUGUAGCAAUACACAGUGGCAGACGGGUGAGGAACACGUGGGAACAUCCCUUUCGGUUCGGAAUAACGUUGGGAAACUAACGCUAAUACCGGAUACGUCCUUCGGGAGAAAGAUUUAUUGCCGAGAGAUUGGCCCGCGUCUGAUUAGCUAGUUGGUGAGGUAACGGCCCACCAAGGCUACGAUCAGUAGCUGAUCUGAGAGGAUGAUCAGCCACAUUGGGACUGAGACACGGCCCAAACUCCUACGGGAGGCAGCAGUGGGGAAUAUUGGACAAUGGGCGCAAGCCUGAUCCAGCCAUGCCGCGUGAGUGAUGAAGGCCUUCGGGUUGUAAAGCUCUUUUAUCCGGGAAGAUAAUGACUGUACCGGAAGAAUAAGCCCCGGCAAACUUCGUGUCAGCCGCCGCAGUAA
rnacentral:rRNA from 1 species